GAUGAAGAACGUAGCGAAAUGCGAUAAGUAAUGUGAAUUGCAGAAUUUAGUGAAUCAUCGAAUCUUUGAACGCAUAUUGCGCCCGCCAGCACUCUGGCGGGCAUGCCUGUUCGAGCGUCAUUUCAACCCUCAGGCCUCGCGUCUGGCGUUGGGGCGCUGCGGCCCUCCCGCAGGCCCCCAAAUUUAGCGGCGGAUUCCCCGCGGCCCUGAGCGCAGUAGAGAGUAAAAACUUUAACGCUCCGGCGGCCGUGGCGCGGUUCUGCCUCUUUCCCAAUAGCGCCAAUAGCGCCACCCCCAAAAAAGUUGACCUCGGAUCAGGUAGGACUACCCGCUGAACUUAAGCAUAUCAAUAAGCGGAGCA
rnacentral:misc_RNA from 1 species